UCUUAUUUCGAGUGGCUGAGGGACUGGCCUUUGGACGCCCGGCAACCGACUCCUCUAUCUCAGGAAAACGGUGCCAAUUCCAGCGGAUUAAAAUCCGAAAGAUGAGG
rnacentral:ncRNA from 1 species